AUGAAUGCAAACUUUCAACUAUUUCUAAUUCUUCUCUGUCAUUUAAGAGGCUUUCAAGGUGCACUGUACAUCCCAGAUCAGGGUGAAUUUGGUUUCAUCCCUGAUGCAUCUGCCCGGGCAGACAAAUUGGCUCUCUCUGAUGACUCUUUUACGCCAAGAGGAAAUCUGAUCUGCUACAGCACGGAAACUUCAGCGGUGACCAUGGCUAGACAAAUUCCUUAGGGAGCUGCCUGUAAGUCUGAUCAACAUUUGAGAUGAAGCGUGUUGCAUUUUCUUUGGCAGGAUGUUACAUGCUGAGUUUAGAUAUGUGAGGCAAUUUCUGAGGCAAUAAGGGAAUAUUCAGGAACACAAGUCUCUGCUGUUAGGUUAAUAAGCAUGAAGAAAGGAAUCCUCUUGUAAAGACUGUUGUUGUUUUUUUGUCGUGUUUUUUUUUUUUUUUUUGCUUGUUUGUUUGGUUGGUUGGUUUUGGUGGUGGUGGUGGUAGGUUUAUUUGUUUGUUUGUUUAACCACAAGUUUGAAAAGAUAUAGUUGUUGAGAUUGUCUAAAUUGUGCUCAGCUGAAGUUCUGUUAUACCAGGAUUGAAGGCACACUGAGUAGGACUCCAUUUCUGUGCUACAGUGGUUCAGCAGCUGAAGGCCUGGAGAAGCCUUUCGUGCUUUUAUUAUUUCUCCUUGUGACAGUCAGUCAGUGUGGAAGCAACGGGAAAUCCUCCUGGAGUGAGGGGGGAGGGCGAGAUAGGAAACUGCGGACAAGCAAGAACAGAAGUGCUGGUGGGUGGGGGAGGGGGGGGGGCGAAUAGUAAUAAAAAAAAAUAAAAAUAGGAGGAGAACUGGCAGUCCAGUCCAUGUAGAGGAGAACAGAGAGACAUUUCUGGAUGGCAGCUAAUGGGUGGAAAGAUGGACUUUGGGUUGCAUAUUACAGAUUAUGUAAGUGGGUUGUAGAGGACAGCAAAACCUGAUCCUGCCAGCUUGUUUCCUCAAAGACGCUAGAGAAAAACCUGGAAUAUCCAUGCCUCUGUAACCUAAAAAUAAAACCUUAAGGCAAAGCAUGUUUGCGCACACCCUCUAGUGGUCUAGCCAGAAAAGGCGUUUUCACCUGGUACAGUUAUUAAUUCUGCCCUGCAUCCAUGUGCUGAGACCAGUCCUACUCUGGUCCUCAGCUGAUCUGACACAUCUGUAACAACAACUGUUCCCUGAAACAGGAUGGCUACAUCCAAACUCAUUUUCAGGAAUGGUCUUUGUUCUGUGAUAACUUCUAAGUUGCACAAGUUGCUUGAGAGAGCAUUACCUGGUGUGAAUCAAAGCUGUGCCAGCAUUGUAACCACAGAAGGAAGUGAAUUUCAUGGCCUGAACCCAGGCUCUGACAGUGUUUAAUUUACUAAUAUUGACUUAGCCUUAGUGCUGUAACAGCUCCGUUAUGCAUGUGGAAGAUGGUACAGACUUCAAUCAUCUAAGUGUAGAUACUACAGAAGAAUUUUUUGACAAAAAAAAAAUCAACCAUCUGCUCAUUCAGAGGGAUAAUAUUGCCUGAAAAAGUCCUGAUAUGCUCUGGAGGGUACAUGCUGACUGAGAGAGUGAACUACAGGAGAAGAUGGAGUAAUCUUGUGAUUUUGGUGCUUGAAUUAUGUCUUGGGAGAUCAGAUUCUGCCUGAGAGUCUUUUGUGGUGCUGAGAAAUGAGCAUCUCCAUAAGAAAUAGGUGCAGAAAAAUGUCUGAAAUGUAUCUGAGGUGGAACUUCAGAGCUUCAGCCCCAGCUGGGGACAAUUCUCAGACAGCCACUGACUAUAAUCCCCUAAGAGCUGCUUCUCCUAACAUAAAGUAGCAGUACUUAAGGUACUUAAAGACAAGUAUAAAGCAGAUAUCUAUUUGCAAGUUAUGGAGCAAUUGGGUUUUGACAGGACUGAGAGAGUUGGCCUCAUGCCAGUAAAGAGCAUGCUUAAGGUACAUCAGUAAGAUUGGAUUUCCUUAAAAAUACAAGUGUUUUCUUUUCAAGCACGUGUAACUCCUCUUCUAGAGCACUCCCCUAGGAGAAAGAUCACGCACAUUUGGUGCUCUCUUUGGAAAGUAUUCAAAGUCUUAACCACUUCCUUCCUUGAAAGUAUGCUAACUACCACACUCAGGUCUGAUUUGCACCCAACUUGUUGAAGCUGCAACUUUGAUGGAAGAUGAAGCAAUGGUCAUUGGACAAAAGAGGAGCAGAUAUCUGAAAUACAGAUCAUCUAGAAGGCAAAAUAUUUGUUCUCUAGUCUUGUCUUCAGAGACACUAUUUCACUUUCAGUAGUCAUUGGAUAACCCCAAAGGCCAAUCCAAAGUGUAAAGAUCAGGCUAUGUCUGCUCCCUUACGGAUGACUGCCCCUGUGUUUAGGCUAGGCUAGGCUAGGGAAUCUUUUGCUGUUGUGCAUGUUGUGCAUUUUUUCCUAAGCUACCAUGUCAAUAAUUUCUUUAUUGCAUAUCUUUGAUAUGAAAUACGGGUAGUACCCAGCCAUUUCGUGGUUAAAAAAAUCUCUUGAUCAGAUAAUAAUUUCCAUGGUCAGACUUGGGAGGCUCUAUUUCCUGACUAUAACCACUAGUCUGUCAUUUAGAAAGGGAAGGGAUGUGUUUUUCUUCUAUCGAUCAUCUUAAAAGACUAUAGCAAAUCAUAUUUAGUCCUCAGAAAGAAAAGGAAACAGGGAACAUUUAUAAAAGAAGACUUCACAAGCCAACCAAAGGCUUUAGGUGUCCCGGUAGUCGUCCUGAAGAAGAGAGAGAGCAUUCUGGGAAACUCACUAAGAUUUUUUUUCCAAGUUUUCACAUUUCCAAGAG
rnacentral:lncRNA from 1 species